GAGUCCGGAUGAAGUCUACCUGCAGUUGAAGUUGGGGAUGAAGUCUGGCUCCCGUAGGAGUCCGGGUGAAGUCUACCUGCAGUUGAAGUCAGGGACGAAGUCUGGCUUCCGUAGGAGUCGGGUGAAGUCUUCCUUCAGUUGAAGUCGGGGACGAAGUCUGGCUCCCGUAGGAGUCCGGAUGAAGUCUACCUGCAGUUGAAGUCAGGGACGAAGUCUGGCUCCCAUAG
rnacentral:lncRNA from 1 species